GACGAACGCUGGCGGCGUGCUUAACACAUGCAAGUCGAACGGUAAGGCCCUUCGGGGUACACGAGUGGCGAACGGGUGAGUAACACGUGGGUGAUCUGCCCUGCACUUCGGGAUAAGCCUGGGAAACUGGGUCUAAUACCGGAUAGGACCACUGCCUGCAUGGGUGGUGGUGGAAAGCUUUUGCGGUGUGGGAUGGGCCCGCGGCCUAUCAGCUUGUUGGUGGGGUGAUGGCCUACCAAGGCGACGACGGGUAGCCGGCCUGAGAGGGUGACCGGCCACACUGGGACUGAGAUACGGCCCAGACUCCUACGGGAGGCAGCAGUGAGGAAUCUUCCGCAAUGGGCGAAAGCCUGACGGAGCAACGCCGCGUGCAGGAUGACGGCCUUCGGGUUGUAAACUGCUUUUCUGAAGGAAGAUUGUGACGGUACUUCAGGAAUAAGGACCGGCUAACUACGUGCCAGCAGCCGCAGUAA
rnacentral:rRNA from 1 species